CUCAAACCGUUCCCGGCCUCAUAAUGACCGAAGGUUAAUUGUAAUCUCUGUUGAAUUUAUGGUUGUGACGUAUGUCCAUUAUAGGUCGUUUCUCAUAUUAAUAGGAUCGCAUCGCUGGAAACAGUCAGUCUCUAUUUGCACGUAGAUCUUGAAUACCUUAUCACUUCCAUCGAUUCUCUGUUGCUAUCAAAUCCUGCAAUUUUCUUCAAAUUUAUCAGGAAUCUUUUUCAAUUUAGUGAUAUCAUCAAGAAUGAAAAUGACGAUUCCGAAAACAGUAAUCCUGGUCGCCCUUUUUGUGGUACUGCUCAGUGCAUGCUCUGAGGGCAGGCGCAAGAUGCGCCCCAACAAGGACAGGAAUGUUGGACGGAGUUGCCCAGGAAAUCAAGAGUGGACAAACUGCGGUUACUGUCAGAACCUGGUGUGUGGGUUCAAAAUUCCCGCCUGCCCGAGGAGAUGCUUCAUGGAUUGCCGAUGUCCCCGUGGUCAGCGACUUCUUUCUCAAGACAGCGACACGUGUGUGGAAGAAUCCAGGUGCCCAAGCCCAAUUGACGCCAACAUUACCGAAUAGAUGCUCGAUGACCAUACAAUAGAGCAAUGAUCUUCGGGAUUGAUCUUCUAUGCAGAUGUCAACACCGGAAAUGAUGAAAUGAUAGUUGUAGUCACCAGUAACUGACUUGCCACUGAAAAAAAGGCUGACAGUCUUCUCGGGCGUUAUAUGCUGGACCAAAAUAGAUUAGGGUUACAAUAAUUACUAUAGACACUCUCUAGACAUUCUGUUAGUCGUGUUUCUUAUCUCUUAUCUUGUAAGGAGUAGCAGGUUGUUAUCUAAACAGCAUGAUCAACCAGUCAAGAUUAUGAAUCAUAAACAUAGUGGGCCCCUUUUUCCUGAUGACGAAUGGCCUUUUUCGUCCUUCAUAGGCCCAUUUUGAAUAAUAGCCAUCUUGCCAAAGUCACGUCCAUCAUUGAAUCCAUAUUGGAUUGGAUCAUUAUUAUCAUCGCUUUAUUAAAAGAAUGGAGGGUAUUUCAUUAGCUUACUGUUAUUUUGUUCUAUGGCAUAACAUUAAAAUUUUGAAUGUGGAACAAGGCCAAGUUGACUCAAACACAAUGUAUAAAAAAAUACAGAGGAAAUUUAUUUACGACAUAGGGGGGGGGCGGGAAGAGGAGAAAAAAUCUACAAAAGGAUCAAACUAACGUUAAUUAGUUUAUUCUCUUGUGUUUCCGUUAUUAAUAUUACCCUGAAAUAAAUUAGCCACUUCCCGCUCUGCGUGAGGGUAGCAUUCUUUGUGUUAUUUAUGAAUUGUGUAUGCGGAUGUGAAAAUUUGACGUCGGUUUGCACACGCCUUAAAAAUUGUAUUAAAAAAUUUGCAUUAUAUUGGACUAUUAUUAAGAUAAUUAAAAUCUUUGAAAAAUUUACUAUAACCGUCA